AUGGUUCACACCCAGUUUUCCACUCCUAUUCGUGUUUUUUGCGCAGAUUCAGCUGGUGAGUAUAUCUCUCAUGCACUGCGAGGAUUUCUUGCUGAGCAGGGUACUCUUACUCAGUUCUUUUGCCCUGGUGCUCAUGCUCAGAAUGGUGUGGCUGAGCGCAAGCAUCGUCACCUUCUUGAGACGGCGCGUGUGAUGAUGAUCGCCGCCUCUCUUCCGCCUCACUUUUGGGCUGAGGCGUUACCACUUCCACCUAUCUCAUCAACAUUCAGCCUUCUACAGCUCUACAAGGUGGUAUUCCUCUCGAGCGUCUUUCUGGUCAUCCUCCUGACUAUUCGGCGCUUCGUUUGUUUGGUUGCGUUUGCUAUGUUUUGCUUGCCCCUCGUGAACGCACCAAACUGA
rnacentral:rRNA from 1 species